rnacentral:rRNA from 1 species
GACGAACGCUGGCGGCGUGCUUAACACAUGCGAGUCGAACGGAAAGGCCCUGCUUUUGUGGGGUGCUCGAGUGGCGAACGGGUGAGUAACACGUGAGUAACCUGCCCUUGACUUUGGGAUAACUUCAGGAAACUGGGGCUAAUACCGGAUAGGAGCUCCUGCUGCAUGGUGGGGGUUGGAAAGUUUCGGCGGUUGGGGAUGGACUCGCGGCUUAUCAGCUUGUUGGUGGGGUAGUGGCUUACCAAGGCUUUGACGGGUAGCCGGCCUGAGAGGGUGACCGGCCACAUUGGGACUGAGAUACGGCCCAGACUCCUACGGGAGGCAGCAGUGGGGAAUAUUGCACAAUGGGCGGAAGCCUGAUGCAGCAACGCCGCGUGCGGGAUGACGGCCUUCGGGUUGUAAACCGCUUUCACCUGUGACGAAGCGUGAGUGACGGUAAUGGGCAAAGAAGCACCGGCUAACUACGUG